GAAUCUGGCUUCAGGUUCGGGACAACAGUUGGAAACGGCUGCUAAUACCGGAUGUGCCUUAUGGUGAAAGAUUUAUCACCUGAAGAUGAGCUCGCGUCUGAUUAGCUAGUAGGUGUGGUAAGAGCGCACCUAGGCGACGAUCAGUAGCUGGUCUGAGAGGAUGAUCAGCCACACUGGGACUGAGACACGGCCCAGACUCCUACGGGAGGCAGCAGUGGGGAAUUUUCCGCAAUGGGCGAAAGCCUGACGGAGCAAUACCGCGUGAGGGAGGAAGGCUCUUGGGUUGUAAACCUCUUUUCUCAGGGAAGAAUGAUGACGGUACCUGAGGAAUAAGCAUCGGCUAACCCCGUGCCAGCAGCCGCGGUAAUACGGAGGAUGCAAGCGUUAUCCGGAAUGAUUGGGCGUAAAGCGUCCGCAGGUGGCAAUGUAAGUCUGCUGUCAAAGCGUCUGGCUCAACCAGAUAAAGGCAGUGGAAACUACAUAGCUAGAGUAAGGUAGGGGUAGAGGGAAUUCCUGGUGCAGCGGUGAAAUGCGUAGAGAUCAGGAAGAACACCGGUGGCGAAAGCGCUCUGCUGGACCUUAACUGACACUGAGGGACGAAAGCUAGGGGAGCG
rnacentral:rRNA from 1 species